AAUUACUUGGGCCAAGGGGAUGCAAACUGUGAUCGCAGCUAGAAGUUUGUUCGUUUGGCUUAAGUUAUUU
rnacentral:pre_miRNA from 1 species